rnacentral:lncRNA from 1 species
AGCAAAAGUAAUUGCUUGGGAGGUGCCAUGUCGAUAUAAGAGUCUUUCUGCACAUGACAAAAGAUGUUCUGCAGCAAGUAAAACGUACUGAUUCCACAUUUCUGUCGUUCAUUCAGAUAAGUAUCAUCUGCUGCUAGCAGAAAUUACAGAACCUACAAAGCCAAAUUGUUAUUGCCUCAGGUUUUAUCUUGAUCAAAUUGUUAUUGAUUAUUAAUUUGUCAAUGCAGAGUACAGCGGAGUCCUGACAGUUCACCUCUUCAAAAGUUUUCGCCCCUCAGAAACGAUGACAGCAGAACUGAACGCCUGCUUUUGGCAUGUAGAUAGAUAGGUUCAGGUUCGGAAAACUCAGCAGCUGUGGUAUUCAGAAAACUCAGCAGCCAAACUUGCUUCAAUCUUAUUUUGUCUUGCGGUUCUAUGAUUCAGAACUGCUUGGAUCAUUGCGUGCAAUGGUUGAACAGUAUUUUGGUGAUGCUGGUUGUAGUAGUUGUUGCUGACUUGCAGUUUCGCUCUUCUGACAUUGAUCUCUGUUAUGUCAUUGGUACUGUUUCCUGGAUGAAGCAUUACACUGUAGAUGUUCUUGCAGCGAGUUGAUGAUGCUGCAUUCCUUUUUGAUGGAUGCUUUUUUUUUUUGCAUAAAUGGAGAAUAUAGUGGUUCUUUGAUGGAUGCAUUUUUGCAUAAAUGGAGAAUGUAGUGGUUCUUGCAGUAAACUGGUGAUCAUGUAUUUCUUUUAGAUGGUG